rnacentral:rRNA from 1 species
UACAUGGGGUGCAAACGUUGCUCGGAAUUAUUGGGCGUAAAGCGCACGUAGGCGGUCCGUUAAGUCGGAUGUGAAAGCCCCCGGCUCAACCGGGGAAGUGCAUCCGAAACUGGCGGGCUAGAGUACGAAAGAGGGUCGCGGAAUUCCCGGUGUAGAGGUGAAAUUCGUAGAUAUCGGGAGGAACACCGGUGGCGAAGGCGGCGACCUGGACCAACACUGACGCUGAGGAGCGAAAGCCAGGGGAGCAAACGGG